rnacentral:lncRNA from 1 species
AACCCCUUGCAGAGUCCAUUGAAGAACACAGCUGAUCUUUACCAUUGACUAAAGCAAUCUGGAAACAAAAUGAUAUUUAGUUGGAAUGAGAAUACUAAGACUCUGGCAAGAAAAUUACUUGACCAAGAUCAUGGAGAAAAGAAAGGAAGAGGCAGCAGGAGAGAGGUGGUGAAGCUGACACCAUCAUCUCUAAAAGGUUCCACUCAGUGUUGGGGUUGGAGGCUGAGCCGCCACAUGUCAUCCUGCCAUAAAAUACUGGGAAUGGAUUUGAUGGGAACUAAGGAACUUUUCAGUCCAGUGAUACUUCAGCAAACCUUGGAGGAACUUCAAGAUCCCACGAGGUAG